GCAGGAUCUGAGUGAGGUUCUUAACACUCAGAGCCUCUUUCCCCUCCCUUGUCCUGGGGGCAGGGGUACAAUAUAAAGACAGGCACCCCUAGAUGUCAAGUUCACUGGGAAGGGCCAGAGGAGUGUCAGAGAUUGGGCCUGACCAGAGACUGAAGUGGGGACAAGAAAGAUUAGAGCUUGAAGAAGACAGGAGUCCUGGUGAGCAGGGGACAGGAGGGGAGGCGAAUGUCCGCCCACAGCCCUGAAGCCGAGAGUGAGCAGCCUUACCGCUGCCUGAUAAAUACAGCCGUUACCCAGGCCGUAAAUUAGAGUCAGGGUCCCAGAUUAGCCCUGGAAUUAAGUACUGUAAGAAUCUGAGGAGAAAAAAAAAUCACAUAAAAUUCAAUUUAAAGAUUAAACAGUUAUGCUUUCCGGUGAAGCCGGCCUCCUGAGAUGAUUAAAUCGCCCCGCAUUUGGGCAGGAGCUCUCACCUGAAGGUCUCAAGCUGGCAGCAAGUUACGCAGUGGGUUGAAACAGGGUGCCCCUGGUCCCUAAGGCUUCAGGUCCUUGGGGAAGGACCAGCUAUGCCUGCUUGUCCCCCACCCAUCAGUCAAGCCCCACUCCAAUCAUCCCCUGCUCUUGGGUCACAAAAGGAGAAACCAGGAGGAGAGGAGGGCUGCCAGGGAAGCCCAUCCCCAUCUUGGGGAGCUGAGAGUUUGCAGAUUGCCGACGUGACCAUGCACAGCACUGGGAGUAUACAGAUUGUGUCCAGGAUGGAAGAUUCUCAUCCCUUGGGUUCUAAGCCUGGCUCUGUCACUUCCGGCCUGUGUGUCUGUAGAAAGGAGCCUUCACCUCUCUGGGCCCCAAGCUUCCGGGUUGGACAAAGUGCCACGGUGCUGUGUAAAGAGCUUGGAACGGCGUCCGGCACAUGCAUCCCUGGAAGAAAGGUACUGUGAUUAUACCCAUUUUGCAGAUGAGAAAACAAGGUCCAGAGAGGUGAACUGACUUGUCCAAAGUCACCCAGCAUUCUAACAUGGAAUAGAAGCAGAGCUGUCUCACCGCAAGGCCGGUUUUCCUCCAUACUUCAUCCGCGUCCUGGGGUGUCGUGUCUGGGAGCCCUUCCCAGCCUGACUCUGAGCCCGUUUCUGCUUUGGCUCCCAGCCUGUGUCCUACUGACUCGUACUUUCAAGCUUGGCAGAAGAUUCCGGCACAAGUUCUCUCUUGGGUAAUAUACAGAUGACCACUUAUGUAGUUUUUAAGCUAUUGGAACCAGCUUCCAGGAGGGUCCACGCCAUGGAUACACCAGUUUCUAAGUAAGGGAAACCUGUGUCCUAGAGAAGAACAACUCACAAUUCAUAUCCUACCGUGAUUUAUUCUCAGUUAAUGACGACGGCAAGUGACCUCCAUGACCACUGGCAUGCUCCUCCAAGACUGACUUUAGGUGAACUUGGGACAUAGAGUUCAGAGACCUGAGGGACCAAGGAGGGGCCUGGGUACCUUUGGAUUGGCUGCAUAUUCGGGAUUUGGCUCACCUUAUGCAGAAGAGGGACUGUGCUGACGUCAAGAUGUCAGGAGAGCCCCCGGGGACACUGAAGGUGUGGAUGAUGAAGCCACAGGCUGGCUCGGGCUCCACUGCCCCUCAGAAAGAGAGGAAUUCAGCCCCCCUGUCCUAACGCUUCUACACUGACCUGCCGAUGUCCAGAAGAGAGGGGACUCCUGGGCUGGCUUAAUAUCAAUAAUAACACCAGUGUCCUCUCUUUCUUCAACUUCCCUCUGGAUGGUGAGGACUUUGAAGACCUUGAGGGGAGGCAAGCUACAGGAUGGAGGGGGCCUGGGUCCCUAAAUGACUGAAUGGAGCAGUGCUCUCUCUCCUCCACUGACCUGCUUUGAACUUAU
ensembl:lncRNA